rnacentral:rRNA from 1 species
UACAUGCAAGUCGAACGCGCAGCGAAAGGUGCUUGCACCUUUCAAGCGAGUGGCGAACGGGUGAGUAACACGUGGAUAACCUGCCUCAAGGCUGGGGAUAACAUUUGGAAACAGAUGCUAAUACCGAAUAAAACUUAGUAUCGCAUGAUACAAAGUUGAAAGGCGCUACGGCGUCACCUAGAGAUGGGUCCGCGGUGCAUUAGUUAGUUGGUGGGGUAAAGGCCUACCAAGACAAUGAUGCAUAGCCGAGUUGAGAGACUGAUCGGCCACAUUGGGACUGAGACACGGCCCAAACUCCUACGGGAGGCUGCAGUAGGGAAUCUUCCACAAUGGGCGAAAGCCUGAUGGAGCAACGCCGCGUGUGUGAUGAAGGCUUUAGGGUCGUAAAGCACUGUUGUAUGGGAAGAAAUGCUAGAAUAGGGAAUGAUUCUAGUUCGACGGUACCAUACCAGAAAGGGACGGCUAAAUACGUGCCAGCAGCCGCGGUAAUACGUAUGUCCCGAGCGUUAUCCGGAUUUAUUGGGCGUAAAGCGAGCGCAGACGGUUGAUUAAGUCUGAUGUGAAAGCCCGGAGCUCAACUCCGGAAUGGCAUUGGAAACUGGUUAACUUGAGUGUUGUAGAGGUAAGUGGAACUCCAUGUGUAGCGGUGGAAUGCGUAGAUAUAUGGAAGAACACCAGUGGCGAAGGCGGCUUACUGGACAACAACUGACGUUGAGGCUCGAAAGUGUGGGUAGCAAACAGGAUUAGAUAC